rnacentral:miRNA from 1 species
CGGGACGGCUGGAAAGGGC